rnacentral:snoRNA from 1 species
UCCCUCUAGAUUCCUUACUCUCAGAUCUAAAUAUUGUUCGGAACAUCUGUAAAAAGAGGGAAAGUUAACUGAAGUGGAUUUGGAGUCCUCAGUGACAUUCAAAUUCAUGUCAAGCAAAU